CCUACGGGUGGCAGCAGUGAGGAAUAUUGGUCAAUGGGCGUAAGCCUGAACCAGCCAAGUCGCGUGAGGGAUGAAGGUUCUAUGGAUCGUAAACUUCUUUUAUAAGGGAAUAAAGUGUGGUAUGUGUCCUGUUUUGUAUGUACCUUAUGAAUAAGGAUCGCCUAACUCCGUGCCAGCAGCCGCGGUAAUACGGAGGAUCCGAGCGUUAUCCGGAUUUAUUGGGUUUAAAGGGUGAGUAGGCGGGCUUUUAAGUCAGCGGUGAAAGUCUGUGGCUCAACCGUAGAAUUGCCGUUGAUACUGGGAGGCUUGAGUAUGUUAGAGGCAGGCGGAAUGCGUGGUGUAGCGGUGAAAUGCUGAGAUAUCACGCAGAACCCCGAUUGCGAAGGCAGCCUGCCAAGCCAUGACUGACGCUGAUGCACGAAAGCGUGGGGAUCAAACAGGAUUAGAUACCCGAGUAGUC
rnacentral:rRNA from 1 species